rnacentral:tRNA from 1 species
GUCGGGGUAGCUCAGUUGGUAGAGCAGAGGACUGAAAAUCCUCGUGUCACC